ACAUUUGGUACCAUUGCACUCUGCGCAUACACAAAACAAAUCCACUCCACUGUAAGCCAUCUGGAUGAAUGAAGAGCUGUUCAGAUGAAAAGCUGACAUGAGUUUUGGCUGGACUGAGGAGCUACGCAAAGUCUUAUAUUCAAUUUGGUGAAAGCAGGAACAUACCAUUCAACGAGGCGAAGCGAAAUAUUCGUUGAACUCAAACAUUCAUCAUUUGUAUAUUUAGCUCUGUGCAGACACAUAAACACAUGGUUGCUGUGACGUCUGGAAAAUGAUGCAGAUAGAAAAAGUCAACAGUAAACAUUUCAUACACAGAACCGCAAACACCAACAUCGGACGUAAACGGCUAACCUCUGUCCAGCGGCUCCAAAAAUCUGGUCCUGCUAAAAAGGUAAAAAAAUAAAGAAAAAGUUCCUCUCCAUCAUAUCUCACGCUCUCACUUUAAUACUGCAAUUCUGCGUAAACGUCUCAGCUCAAGAUUCAAACUGAGCUCCCUCAGUAUUCAUUUGAUAGGUAAACACGCUAAAAUGGAAAUGAGCGCCGUUAUUACUGCUGUGAUAGCUCCACUCUCGGUGUAAGACUUUGCCCGUUCUGGCUACAUGAGGCAUUUCUGUAGGCUAAAAUAUACAGUACAACUGGUUGUCACACAGUAAAAUGCAAAAGUAAAGAACACAGUUAUUACAGCGACAAAGGAUUUUCCGGGAAUUACUGGACUUACGGAUGUAACGUGCUGCAGGCCGUAUUAAAGCUAGCAUAUGUAGUCGUGCUAACUGUGGAUGGCGGCAAUCACAUUAGACCCGCCCCCCAGUCGACACAGGCCGGUGCCGCACACCAAACGGUCCCCCACUAAAGAUCGGUCUGCCUGCCUUCGCUGCACUGGACCCAACAAACCGAUGACACGCGUGCCCUGUGAUUGUGACCAAGAGAGGGCACUAAUCAUACAAGAUGUUUUUGUUUUAAAUCAUAUAUCUGUGACGAAACGAAAUUGUGCCGUUUCCUCAAACAUCGCCCUGCUCCGGUGAUGAUGUCACAGGAGUUCUCAGCCUGACAGCGCCUGAUGUUAAGGCAACAUCUCCCUCACAGCUGUCGCAAAUCAAUAAAAAUGCUGCCACCCAGAGUUUCUUUAAGGGUGGAGACAAAAACGAAAGGCUUCAUGACUGAGACUCCGUUAACGUAACUGAUAACCACAUGUGCUAAAUGUACUUAACAGUCAACAUUUUCUAUAACAUAGCCCGUCAGUAGUCAAAUAUACCUCAUGUUUCAGUAACUAUGUCUGGCGUCUGUCAGUUUUUGCUACCUUGCUGGAAAGGGCUGCCAUUAUGACACGAAUCACAUGACUGUAUACUGUAUAAUGUAAACAAAAAUUAAAUGAAAGUCAUAAAAUGUAUGUAAAAGGCAUGUUCCACACCAGAUGAACUGCAGGUGUGUGGUGGCUGUGUUAACAUGUUUACCGCUUGCACACUGCCUGCAAGACUGAUCUAUUGAU